UGAGAAAACCAUGUUGCGGCCGACCCUUUC
rnacentral:sRNA from 1 species